rnacentral:rRNA from 1 species
GUGGGGAAUAUUGGACAAUGGGCGGAAGCCUGAUCCAGCAACGCCGCGUGAGGGAUGACGGCCUUCGGGUUGUAAACCUCUUUCGCCUGUGACGAAGCGAAAGUGACGGUAACAGGUAAAGAAGCACCGGCCAACUACGUGCCAGCAGCCGCGGUAAUACGUAGGGUGCGAGCGUUGUCCGGAAUUAUUGGGCGUAAAGGGCUCGUAGGCGGUUUGUCGCGUCGGGAGUGAAAACGCCGUGCUUAACACGGUGCUUGCUUUCGAUACGGGCAGACUAGAGGCAUGCAGGGGAGAACGGAAUUCCUGGUGUAGCGGUGAAAUGCGCAGAUAUCAGGAGGAACACCGGUGGCGAAGGCGGUUCUCUGGGCAUGUCCUGACGCUGAGGAGCGAAAGUGUGGGGAGCGAACAGGAUUAGAUACCCGUGUAGUCC